rnacentral:other from 1 species
GAAAACCUGGAAUGUACGAGAUCCUACUAUUUUGAACCUACAUGUUUUUUUAUGGGACUCCUACAUUGCUGAUUAGAUGUCAAGCCACCGUAUAGCAGUGGAAGGCAGAAGAUCAGUUGCGGAUACCCACCUAGCUUAGCUAGGCGUCAAAAUCGUAGGAAACGGCAUUUUGGGGAAAUA